AACGAACGCUGGCGGCAUGCCUAACACAUGCAAGUCGAACGAGACCUUCGGGUCUAGUGGCGCACGGGUGCGUAACGCGUGGGAACCUGCCCUUAGGUUCGGAAUAACUCCCCGAAAGGGGUGCUAAUACCGGAUAAUGUCUUCGGACCAAAGAUUUAUCGCCUUUGGAUGGGCCCGCGUUGGAUUAGCUAGUUGGUAGGGUAAAAGCCUACCAAGGCGACGAUCCAUAGCUGGUCUGAGAGGAUGAUCAGCCACACUGGGACUGAGACACGGCCCAGACUCCUACGGGAAGCAGCAGUGGGGAAUAUUGGACAAGGGGCGAAAGCCUGAUCCAGCAAUGCCGCGUGAGUGAUGAAGGCCUUAGGGUUGUAAAGCUCUUUUACCCGGGAUGAUAAUGACAGUACGGGGAGAAUAAGCUCCGGCUAACUCCGUG
rnacentral:rRNA from 1 species